UACGUAGGGUGCAAGCGUUGUCCGGAUUUAUUGGGUUUAAAGGGUGCGUAGGCGGCUUUGUAAGUCAGUGGUGAAAUACUCUAGCUUAACUAGAGGGGUGCCAUUGAUACUGCGGAGCUUGAGUACAGAUGAGGUAGGCGGAAUUGACGGUGUAGCGGUGAAAUGCAUAGAUAUCGUCAAGAACACCGAUAGCGAAGGCAGCUUACUGGGCUGUAACUGACGCUGAUGCACGAAAGUGUGGGGAGUCAAACAGG
rnacentral:rRNA from 1 species